rnacentral:rRNA from 1 species
CCUACGGGAGGCAGCAGUGAGGAAUAUUGGUCAAUGGCCGGAAGGCUGAACCAGCCAUGCCGCGUGAAGGUCAGUGCCCUAUGGGCGUUAAACUUCUUUUGUGCGGGAGCAAUAAUGGUCACGUGUGGACAGACGAGAGUACCGUACGAAUAAGCAUCGGCUAACUCUGUGCCAGCAGCCGCGGUAAUACGGGGGAUGCAAGUGUUAUCCGGAUUUAUUGGGGUUAAAGGGUGCGUAGGCUGUGAGGUAAGUCAGCGGGGAAAUGCCCCGGCUCAACGGGGUGAAGUGCCAUUGAUACUGGCUUGCUGGAGUGCGGAUGCCGUGGGAGGAAUGUGUGGUGUAGCGGUGAAAUGCAUAGAGAUCACACAGAACACCGAUUGCGAAGGCAUCUCACGGAUCCGCGAUUGACGCUGAUGCGCGAAAGCGUGGGUAUCAAACAGGAUUAGAUACCCUUGUAGUC